rnacentral:rRNA from 1 species
AUUGAACGCUGGCGGCAGGCCUAACACAUGCAAGUCGAACGGCAGCACAGAAGAGCUUGCUCUUUGGGUGGCGAGUGGCGGACGGGUGAGUAACACGUAGGAAUCUACCCAGUAGUGGGGGAUAACCUGGGGAAACCCAGGCUAAUACCGCAUACGCCCUGAGGGGGAAAGCGGGGGAUCUUCGGACCUCGCGCUAUUGGAUGAGCCUGCGUCGGAUUAGCUAGUUGGUGGGGUAAGGGCCCACCAAGGCGACGAUCCGUAGCUGGUCUGAGAGGAUGACCAGUCACACCGGAACUGAGACACGGUCCGGACUCCUACGGGAGGCAGCAGUGGGGAAUAUUGGACAAUGGGCGCAAGCCUGAUCCAGCAAUGCCGCGUGUGUGAAGAAGGCCUGCGGGUUGUAAAGCACUUUCAGUGGGGAAGAACAGAUUCGGGUCAAUACCCCGGAGCCCUGACGUUACCCACAGAAGAAGCACCGGCUAACUCCGUGCCAGCAGCCG